rnacentral:tRNA from 1 species
UCCCAAAGCUAAUAUUCUUCAGAAUAUGAUUAAACUAUUCUAUGCUUA